GAUGAACGAUGGCGGCGUGCCUAAUACAUGCAAGUCGAGCGAACGGACGAGAAGCUUGCUUCUCUGAUGUUAGCGGCGGACGGGUGAGUAACACGUGGAUAACCUACCUAUAAGACUGGGAUAACUUCGGGAAACAGGAGCUAAUACCGGAUAAUAUUUUGAACCGCAUGGUUCAAAAGUGAAAGACGGUCUUGCUGUCACUUAUAGCUGGAUCAGCGCUGCAUUAGCUAGUUGGUAAGGUAACGGCUUACCAAGGCAACGAUGGAUAGCCGACCCGAGAGGGACGACGGCUACAUUGGAACUGAGACUGGGCCCCGACACUGAGGCGGAGAAGCGGCCGAGAAUCUUACGCGAGGCAGGAGUGCCGGACGUUGCAACGUCGCGGGAGGGAUGAUGCAGUUCUGACGCGAGAAUUAUGAUAUCAGUAAAGUUGUUAUGUGUUUGUAACCGUGAUGAUCAUGACGGUACCGAGUCAGAAAGCCACGGCUAACUACGUG
rnacentral:rRNA from 1 species